rnacentral:tRNA from 1 species
CAGGGAGACAACAAAAUGUUAAAUAUUAAUUUUGUCACCUUAGGUCGAUCGGUAUCUCACAUUCUUGAUUAUUUAAGGAUUUUAUUUCCUAAGUUUUUUCUAGGUCACACCCAUUACUUUUCCUGGGCCAUUAGCUCAGGUGGUUAGAGCGCACCCCUGAUAAGGGUGAGGUCCCUGGUUCAAGUCCAGGAUGGCCCAUAUCUCUAUGUUGGGGGUAUAGCUCAGUUGGUAGAGCGCCUGCUUUGCAAGCAGGAUGUCAGCGGUUCGAGUCCGCUUACCUCCACUGAUCACCACCUCUUCAUAAUUUAUAGAAGGGAAUUGUUUUGAGUUAUGAUCAAAUUCUGAAAGAAUCUAGCUUCCUAAUGAAAUCAUUAAGAUGCUGGACUCAUUGAAUUAAUUUCAUUGUCUUCAGAGAACCUUGACAACUGCAUAGAUUAUUUUUAAAGACAAUAAGCAUCUUUAUGAUGCAGAUUUAUUAUUUGUGCGAAUGCAUUAAUAACAAUUCUAUUAAGCUGAUGCUUCAAUUAUGAAGUUAUU